GGACUACACGGGUAUCUAAUCCUUUUCACUACCCGAGCCUUCGUCUCUCAACGUCAGUUUUUACAUAGAGGUUUGCCUUCACCUUUAUCAGUCUUAUUAGGAUCAAUGGAUUUUAUCUCUACUCUAACAAUACUUAAAUCUUCCUCCCAUAUAAAACUCAAGUACAUUUGUAUUUAUCUAAAUUUUAUAUACUAUCUAGGUACGCUUUAAACCUAAUAAAGAUGAAUAACACUAGACUUACUCGUCUUACCGCGGCUGCUGGCAC
rnacentral:rRNA from 1 species